rnacentral:lncRNA from 1 species
UACUGUGUAGGCAUGAACCAGAUUCUCUUUCUUUCUUUUUUUUUUUGUAUGAAUCAUUUUUAACAUUUCUUGUAUCUAUGGAUAACAGGUUCUCAGGUGAAGCGCUGAGCAUGUCACUGAAAGCCCAGUGGAGUUAAGUGUGCAGAGUCAGUCUGAACAUAAGCUGUAAUGGAUUUGACCUCAAAGCGCACUACAAAGAGAAAUUGCAGAUAACCAUCUGAACUAACUUCUGAAGCUUGUAGUUCUGACUCCUGCGAUACUGAAAAAAAAGGGAGGCCAAACAGAUUGGAGAGAAAAACUCCUAGACAGCAGAGUGAAGAUGAGUCUGAUUUUUAAAAUAAAUAAUGACUUAACUGAUGGCACCCCUUAGAAAAAUGUCUCUUUGCAAUGAACUCCCAUGGUGAAGACAGAGCCAGUUGACU